ensembl:lncRNA
GUGAUGCCUUCCCAGCAGCCUCCAGUCCCUUCCUGCCGGGCUAUUCCGGCCCCUCCCCCCUAACCUCUGACCCAGCCUACAGAUCACCCAAUCAGAUGGCUCAGCUCUGGGCCUCACACGCUGCUGCCCACGAAGCUCUCUCUUGCCCCACUUCUAUCCUCCCUCCUGUCCUCUCUCUCUCUCUCCUCGUCCCUCAGGUCUCUCUCUCCUCGUCCCUCAUCUCUCUCCUGCCCCACUUCUACCCCUCCUCCUGUCCUCUUUCCUGGAGGGAAGACAGGCACAUCUCUCUUAGGCAGAGUAGGUCAACCGUGUGUCUACAGGUCAGAGGCUACGCCCCUCUCCCAGGCGGUCUGUACCCCAGCCCCUACCACCUCCCCCUGGGUAACCUGGAGCCUCCUCCCCCCUCGCUGGGCUUGGCUCAGCACCACCACCUCUACAACGCACCACACCAAGAGAGGUUCUUUCUGCCGGUGUCGUUACCCCAGCCGCCUCUUCAACCCUCCUCCGUCCCCCCCAGUUCCACCCCCCAGAGUAGCUCCCGGGAGGGGGGCAGGGACCGAGACAUACUCUACCGCGAGGAGAGGGAGAGAGAGGAGCCUCAGGAGGGGGGCAGAGCCCGAGACAGACUCUACCGUGUGGCGAGGGAGAGAGAGGAGCCCCAGGAGGGGGGCAGGGACCGAGACAGACUCUGCUGUGAGGAGAGAGAGGAGCCUCAGGAGGGGGGCAGGGACCGAGACAGACUCUACCACGAGGAGAGAGAGGAGCCCCGGGAGGGGGGCAGAGACAGACUCUACCGCGAGGAGAGAGGGCGAGGCGAGAGGGAGCGGUCGAGAGAGGAGCCUCGUCCAUACAGUGUGGUAGAUCUGACACAGGAUGGGAGGAGUGGAGAGAGAGAACGCCACAGAGAACGAGAGACUGAGCGAGACAGAGACCGAGAGAGAGAGGUUCUCCUCCACCACCCCUCUGCUUCUCGACCCCCCAGGGCUCCUCCUCUUCUGGGCGUUACCCAGAGACUGAUGACACACCCACUCGCUCCCCCAACCCUAACCCCAGCCCCCACACACACACAGACAGGCUGAGGAAGACUGAAUCUACCUACAGCGGUGCACUCCUUCCUGGCCCCGCCUACCCUGCACACCGGGAGCCUAUCAGGGAACAGCGUGUGAGCGCGCCCACUUACGUGCCUUCUGUGGAGGUCUAUGAUGAGCAGGUCGGCCCGAUCCAGAUCGCAUCGCAGGCCAGGGACAAACAGGACAAACUGA